GACGUAGGGCGCGAGCGUUGUCCGGAUUUAUUGGGCGUAAAGAGCUCGUAGGCGGCUUGUCGCGUCGACUGUGAAAUCCCGCGGCUCAACCGCGGGUCUGCAGUCGAUACGGGCAGGCUAGAGUUCGGUAGGGGAGACUGGAAUUCCUGGUGUAGCGGUGAAAAUGCGCAGAUAUCAGGAGGAACACCGAUGGCGAAGGCAGGUCUCUGGGCCGAUACUGACGCUGAGGAGCGAAAGCGUGGGGAGCGAACAGG
rnacentral:rRNA from 1 species